AGCAGCAGAGGUCAAGGCAAUUUAGAAAAAAGUAUGCACAUGUGACAGUGGUUCUCAAGCAGCAAGCUGUUUAAAAUGCAGCUUUGUAGCCCUCAUGCUCAGAAAUUCCAGAUUUAACAAGUCUAGAAUUGAGGCUCUGAAACCUGUAUUUUAAAAAAAAUUCCCAGGUGAUUGCCAUGAAGGUAUUCUGUGAACUGUACACUAGACUUUGAGAAGCUCUGCCCUGGGAGAGCACCCAGGGCUUCUGAUAGGGGACAGGCAGAGCUGGCAGAGGCCACCCAGCCCCAGGAUGAGGGGCCUGAAGUCUCGGGAGGAACGGUGCUCCCACCUGGUUCUACAAGAAUCAAGUCAUCACCCCUGCGGUCGCUGACCUACAGUACACCCUGAAAGGAAUUCAGGAAGACGAUCAGGAUGAGGCCCGCUGUGCUCUGGGAAAACAGGCAAAAAAAGCACUAAAAUCAUGAACGGAGAAACUCGUCGCUUGUGACCAGGAGCAACCUUCUACCAAAAUGUGUGCUUGAGUGCAGUCGACAGUUUUGCCGACCAUGAAGGAGCACAGAGCUAAUAACUUCUCUCCUCUGUCUGAACACUAUGAAGAGUCAGGACUUUGGUAGCCGCAAGGGCCUUUUAUUCCCAUCCACCUCCUCAGCGAGUCCAGACGAAUUUGGGGGACGUGGGUUUGAGCCCUGGUCCGGGAAGAUCCCACAUGCUGCGGAGCAACUAAGCCUGUGUGCCACAACUGCUGAGCCUGCGUGUCACAACUACUGAAGCCCGCAUGCCUAGAGCCCGUGCUCCGCAACAAGAGAAGCCACCGCAAUGAGAAGCCUGCACACCACAACGAAGAGUAGCCCCCGCUCGCCGCAACGAGAGAAAGCCCGUGCACAGCAACGAAGACCCAAUGC